CCCCUCCUCUCUUUCGUCUCUCUUCACAGACCAAGCAACACACCACCGCCUUCCGCCCGCUGGAAAUCACCCACGGUGGCAAACGGUGGCCAACCAGCCCCAAAUUUAUAUCGUAGAACCCCCUCACUCCCCUCUUCACAAAUCCGUAACCCGUUACCUUCGAACAUUCCUGGAGCCCUUCGAAUAUCGAUUCGAAGGGAUGAACCCUAGCACCGCCCUAACUUUCUCCGGUGGCGGCGCAACCUCCAAUCGACCCCAAACUAACACCCCUUGACCACCACAACUCCCUCUUCCCUAAUCCAUAAUCCGUUUCCUUCGAAUGGGGCUCAAUCUGCUCGAAUCUUAAAUCCAAGGGUCCGAAUUCUAAAGUCAAACCUAAACUCGAGAAUUGAUGAUAAUUUUAGAGCCGAUUUCAUCAUGAAAUAGUGUUAAUCACUUGUUUUUAACAAAGAACAACUGACUAACAUCAUUUGGCGAUGAAAUCGAAAAGAAAAAAAAUUUGGGUACCAAGUUGUCCAGUUAAACCGGUAAGUUUUCUUGAUUAUUGUUUUUUAGUAUUUGUUUCACUUCUCUAGUUGUUGGUCCACUAACUCAGUCAGUUUAAUUAGAUCUUUUCUAUUAAAUUUGUUUGAAUUUGUUUAGUAACAAGUCUAGUUAAUUUGGUGUUAAUUGUUUUAAAGGUCGAAUCACAAAUGAGUUCAUUCGUUGGUUAUUUCUUGCUUGGUUCAAUUCUAAAUCACUCAUGUAUGGGGUAUUUUUUGAUUUCUUUUCAAUGUUAAACUCUUAUAUUUUCAGAAAUUGAUGUUGUUUGGUUUUGGCUGCUUGAUGAUUUUGUUUUAUAGAAUUGUUUGUGCAAGUUUGCAAAUAAUCAGAACUUUCAGUAGUUCUGAUCAAAUAAUUAGGAUUUCAGAGUAUAGCUUGAGAAUUGUUUAAUAAAAAGAGGUAUUCACCUAACUUAAGAAGAUUCUAAUAGUGGUAGGGUUAGAAGUGCAUUAAUUGAGUAAGUGGAAUCAUUUUAAAAUGUUGAAAGGUCAUUUUGUGAAUCCAAGGGGCAUUUUCCGUUGCCUAUUUAAGAGAUCUUAGGACUGAAAAUACAAAGGGGGGAGGGGGGGAGACCUAAGUGAUAGAAAAAUCUGAAAAAAAAAUUCAUUAUAAACACUGCUCUAUUGAAAUUCCUCUUCAAUUUUUCUUAGUUUUCAAUUGCUGAAAGUCAGUGGAAUUAGCGUUACUUGGUUUUAAUUCUCUACGUUACUCUGCCAGUUUGAAACUUUCUAAAAAAUUUGAGUGUUUGAGGGAGUUCAAAAAAAAAAGAUAGAGUAAAUAGAGAAGAAAUAUUGAAAAAUACUGAUAAAUAACACUGUUUCAUUGAGUUCUUUUGGUAUUUUCUAAAGUUUUUCUAGUAUUGAAGCAAUUUCUGGUUAGCUGGUACUGAUCGAGUCUGGUUGAAGUUUUUUGUGGUUCACUUUGUGACUGAAGUUGAUUUCUGGGCUAUUUUACCUCACUUUCUGGUUUAAAUUAGUUUUAACUAGUGUUUGACUCUGUUGUUUUGCUACUGCUGUUGGGCCUCUGAUUAUUCUGUUGUGUGCACUUCACAUUUUUCAGGUACACAUUGUAAAGCUCAUAUGACUAUGAAUGUUGGAUGUGAAGAAACGAAAUGAAAGGCAUGAAGAUUAAAGCAUAGUGUUAACUUGUUUUCUCUGUUUUAGCUAUAGUUUUCUUUAGUGUCAUAUUUCUGCAAAAUUAGCUUUUGUCACUAGAUAUUAAUUUGAAGUUGAUAGGGC
rnacentral:lncRNA from 1 species